GUCGGUUUGACGGAGUGGUUAACGUGUUGCACUCGAAAUGCAAUCCUCUCUGAGGGCACAGGUUCAAAUCCUGUAGCCGACG